rnacentral:SRP_RNA from 1 species
AAUUGGGCAAGGAUCUUACAACCAGCUCCUGAUUAAUCCCCCAGGGCGGAAACGCAGCAAGGGUAGUCGGUCGUAGCGGUGUGAUAAGACUCCUUGCC